rnacentral:rRNA from 1 species
UACGUAGGUGGCAAGCGUUGUCCGGAAUUAUUGGGCGUAAAGCGCGCGCAGGCGGCUUUCUAAGUCCAUCUUAAAAGUGCGGGGCUUAACCCCGUGAUGGGAUGGAAACUGGGAAGCUGGAGUAUCGGAGAGGAAAGUGGAAUUCCUAGUGUAGCGGUGAAAUGCGUAGAGAUUAGGAAGAACACCGGCGGCGAAGGCGACUUUCUGGACGACAACUGACGCUGAGGCGCGAAAGCGUGGGGAGCAAACAGG